rnacentral:piRNA from 1 species
AUAGGUACAUAGAUAGAUAAAUCUGUGUCAGC